rnacentral:rRNA from 1 species
AUGAACGCUGGCGGCGUGCCUAAUCCAUGCCAGUCGCGCGAACAGACGAGGAGCUUGCUCCUCUGACGUUAGCGGCGGACGGGUGAGUAACACGUGGAUAACCUACCUAUAAGACUGGGAUAACUUCGGGAAACCGGAGCUAAUACCGGAUAAUAUAUUGAACCGCAUGGUUCAAUAGUGAAAGACGGUUUUGCUGUCACUUAUAGAUGGAUCCGCGCUGCAUUAGCUAGUUGGUAAGGUAACGGCUUACCAAGGCAACGAUGCGUAGCCGACCUGAGAGGGUGAUCGGCCACACUGGAACUGAGACACGGUCCAGACUCCUACGGGAGGCAGCAGUAGGGAAUCUUCCGCAAUGGGCGAAAGCCUGACGGAGCAACGCCGCGUGAGUGAUGAAGGUCUUCGGAUCGUAAAACUCUGUUAUUAGGGAAGAACAAAUGUGUAAGUAACUAUGCACGUCUUGACGGUACCUAAUCAGAAAGCCACGGCUAACUACGUG